rnacentral:rRNA from 1 species
AUGGCGGGGAGCGCGUGCUGCUGGCGGUCGCUGGCCGUGGUGCUGGCGGUGGUGGGCGCGGCGGCGACGACGGCCGGGGCGGCGCCGCAGGUGCCGUGCUACUUCGUGUUCGGGGACUCGCUGGUGGACAACGGCAACAACAACGGCAUCGUCUCGCUCGCGCGCGCCAACUACCCGCCCUACGGCGUCGACUUCGCCGGCGGGCCCACCGGACGCUUCUCCAACGGACUCACCACCGUCGACGCCAUCUCCAAGCUUCUGGGCUUCGACGACUUCAUCCCCCCGUUCGCCGGUGCGACCAGCGACCAGCUCCUCACCGGCGUCAACUUCGCCUCCGCCGCCGCCGGCAUCCGGGAAGAGACCGGGCAGCAGCUGGGUGGACGCAUCAGCUUCAGCGGGCAGGUGCAGAACUACCAGAGCGCGGUGGAGCAGCUGGUGAGCAUCCUGGGGGACGAGGACGCGGCGGCGAACCGCCUGAGCCAGUGCAUCUUCACCGUCGGCAUGGGCAGCAACGACUACCUCAACAACUACUUCAUGCCGGCCUUCUACGACACGGGGAGCCGCUACACGCCGGCGCAGUACGCCGACGACCUGGCGGCGCGCUACACGCAGCUCCUCCGCGCGCUCUACAGCUACGGGGCGCGCAAGGUGGCGCUCAUCGGCGUGGGGCAGGUCGGGUGCAGCCCCAACGAGCUGGCCACGCAGAGCGCCAACGGCGUGGCCUGCGUCGACCGGAUCAACGUCGCCGUCCGGAUGUUCAACCAGCGGCUCGUCGGCAUGGUCGACCAGUUCAACCGCCUCCUCCCCGGCGCGCACUUCACCUACAUCAACAUCGAUGGCAUCUUCUCCGACAUCCUCCGGGCGCCCGGCGGCCAUGGCCUGAAGGUGACCAACCGGGGCUGCUGCGGCGUGGGGCGGAACAACGGGCAGGUCACCUGCCUGCCGUUCCAGACGCCGUGCCCCAACCGCAACGAGUACCUCUUCUGGGACGCCUUCCACCCCACCGAGGCCGCCAACGUGCUCGUCGGCCAGCGGGCCUACGCCGCCCGGCUCGCCUCCGACGUGCACCCCGUCGACCUCCGCACCCUCGCACGCCUCUAG